ACUUCCAACGCGAUGACGCACACUAUCCCUUUUCCGUCCCUCAACCAUGCUCUGAAGCGCCUGAAGCAAAAUCACGAGCGUCGCCAUGAUCACAUGCUUCAGCUCACCACCACCAUCGUCUUCGUCGUUGAUCUUGAAACGUAUUGGAGAGAGACGCGGGUUCACCGAUGAAACGAAGAUUUGUCAUCUCAGUAUCGCGUCUACGUCGUGACUUACCGCAUCAAAAGAAUCGUGUUUGUCUUCCACUCGUCGUCGAUUUGCAUCGCGAAAUCAAGACGCAUCGCGGAUUGAAGCAAGACAAAGGAGACUCACUUGUUCGAAAUGCUUGAUUUGAGUUGAUUGAGCGUGUGAAAUCGGAACUCCGGCAUAGUGAUUCUUCGAUGGAUUUAGAGGGUGGCGACACUUUGUUGCAGAACCGAUGAAAAUCAAUUGCAGGAUGAAGAACUUUUUCUGCUGCAUAGAGAAGAAGAUUGAAGGAGGCGAUUGAAGAGGGAUUGAAGAUUGGAAAAGGUUGAAGAAAUGAUUGAAGAUCGGAAAAGGUUGAAGAAAUGAUUGAAGAUGAGGAUUGAUGAAGAUAUGGAAGAAAAAUUAUGCAGAAAAACUGUACGUGAGGUAUUUAUAGAAUCUAAAGUUAACGGAGGAAACUCACACUAGUAGUUAUCGUAGGCUAAGUUGGUUGAAGGUUAAUCUUCUGUUAGCUGAGUUUAUAAUUUCUGUUAUAGAUCUUUGAAGUUAGUUGGGACCAAAUUGUAUUUCUGUUAAUAAAUUGAAAUUCUUUUUCGUUGA